UGGGGAAUAUUGGACAAUGGGCGCAAGCCUGAUCCAGCCAUGCCGCGUGAGUGAUGAAGGCCUUAGGGUUGUAAUGCUCUUUUGGCGGGGACGAUAAUGACGGUACCCGCAGAAUAAGCCCCGGCUAACUUCGUGCCAGCAGCCGCGGUAAUACGAAGGGGGCUAGCGUUGUUCGGAUUUACUGGGCGUAAAGCGCGUGUAGGCGGGUCGUUAAGUUGGGGGUGAAAUCCCGAGGCUCAACCUCGGAACUGCCUUCAAAACUGGCGACCUGGACCUAAGUAGAGGCAAGUGGAAUUGCGAGUGUAGAGGUGAAAUUCGUAGAUAUUCGCAGGAACACCAGUGGCGAAGGCGGCCAACUGGCUCGAUACUGACGCUGAGGUGCGAAAAGCGUGGGGGAGCAAACAGGAUUAGAUACCCCGGUAGUCCCUGAGCGGGCUGGCAAGGCGCAU
rnacentral:rRNA from 1 species